UUGGAGUCUGCAACUCGACUCCAUGAAGUCGGAAUCGCUAGUAAUCGUGGAUCAGAAUGCCACGGUGAAUACGUUCCCGGGCCUUGUACACACCGCCCGUCACACCAUGGGAGUGGGUUGCAAAAGAAGUAGGUAGCUUAACCUUCGGGGGGGCGCUUACCACUUUGUGAUUCAUGACUGGGGUGAAGUCGUAACAAGGUAACCGUAGGGGAACCUGCGGUUGGAUCACCUCCUUACCUUAAAGAAGC
rnacentral:rRNA from 1 species